UUCCCCUUCGGGGGACAAAGUGACAGGUGGUGCAUGGUUGUCGUCAGCUCGUGUCGUGAGAUGUUGGGUUAAGUCCCGCAACGAGCGCAACCCUUAAGCUUAGUUGCCAUCAUUAAGUUGGGCACUCUAAGUUGACUGCCGGUGACAAACCGGAGGAAGGUGGGGAUGACGUCAAAUCAUCAUGCCCCUUAUGAUUUGGGCUACACACGUGCUACAAUGGACAAUACAAAGGGCAGCGAAACCGCGAGGUCAAGCAAAUCCCAUAAAGUUGUUCUCAGUUCGGAUUGUAGUCUGCAACUCGACUACAUGAAGCUGGAAUCGCUAGUAAUCGUAGAUCAGCAUGCUACGGUGAAUACGUUCCCGGGUCUUGUACACACCGCCCGUCACACCACGAGAGUUUGUAACACCCGAAGCCGGUGGAGUAACCUUUUAGGAGCUAGCCGUCGAAGGUGGGACAAAUGAUUGGGGUGAAGUCGUAACAAGGUAGCCGUAUCGGAAGGUGCGGCUGGAUCAC
rnacentral:rRNA from 1 species